rnacentral:rRNA from 1 species
ACGACUCUCGACAACGGAUAUCUCGGCUCUCGCAUCGAUGAAGAACGUAGCGAAAUGCGAUACUUGGUGUGAAUUGCAGAAUCCCGUGAACCAUCGAGUCUUUGAACGCAAGUUGCGCCCGAAGCCACUUGGCUGAGGGCACGCCUGCCUGGGUGUCACGCAU